AAUUCAAAGCACGCGCUUAAUGCCAGGCCAGAGACAUGAACGGUCAGGCCACCGAGAGUGCCAAGAUGAGAUGGGCAGUGCUGGGCAGCCAUCCCAGAAAUCUUCCGAAGCCUGAAUCUUGAAGUGCAAGUUAGUCAAGCAGAGAAAGAGACCUGGAACAGAGAGAACAAAACCUAACAGCAAGAGAACAUGGCCUGUUUGUGGCCCUAGCUGAAGCAGUAAGCACUGCUGCAGAAAUGACCUCCUCCCACUGUUCUGGAGUCUUCGGCUCUAAGGAGGGAUGAAUGGAUGGAUGUGGACAGCACUGUGACUCUGGGCCCAGAAGCCUGCGCUCGAAAGAGCUACAUCACUUCCUGGUCACAGCUGGGACUCAUACGGAUCACUGACUCCUUUUGUAAUUCUCUGGUUGACCUCCCUGCCUCCCCAGUGCCUCUCCCCUGAUGGUUAGGCUCAGUUCCCCAGAGGUCAGUGUGAGGCCGAUGGCAGAGCCAUCUGGCCCCUGAGUCAUGGGAAGUCACCGUUUAAAUCCACUGAUCAUCUGUGUCUAUAAGAGGUCUCUACCUGCAGUCUGAUGUUUCAUUAGACACGUUAUUUUUCUGAAUGUAGUCUCCAACUCAUUAACUCAUUGCACCAUACAAACAAAACUGAAUCAGACACCUAACCCUAGAUAUGCAUUCAAAAAUUAUUACUCUGUGACUCUUCAUAGACUCAUAGUCUUCACAGACUUCAUAGUCCCACCCAGGCUUCCCCCCAGCCCCUGGCUUAUGCGAGUCGUGCACUUAUUUGCUAACUCCAAUAAGUUCUUUCUAGCCUGGUUUUGCAGAGUCCUCCCCCAGCCAGUGUUAGACGCUGCAUAAACAACCUUAUCAUUUGGCAGCGAUUUUUGAAAACAUGCCAGUCCUUUUCUUUGCCCUCCACUCCCCUCAGUCCAUACUGUAUUGAUCCAGUGCCAGCUUCUCUAGCUUUUAUCCAGAGCAUUGUCCUGGAAUACAGUACAAGGAAAAAUACCGCCUGUGAGUCUGCUACACUAUUGGGAUGAUUGGAGUUCAGUGGCUCAUGGAGAUCAUUUCUCUGUCGUAUUAAGUGAAGGCCAAGGUCCACUGUGCUUCCUGCCUCUCCUUGAGAACACCGAGGCCAAUAUCAUUCUCGCCACACAGCUUAAUAUCAGACACCCUGAAAGCAGGUGGGUGUGGUACACAGUAUUUGCUGAACCGCCUGGCAAACAAAUAUUUGCACCUAUGGCCUGCUGCACGGGUCUGAGCUGAGGGCGCUGCCCAGCAAGAGGUACCUC